UUAUUACUCCCUCCGUCCGGAAAUACGUGUCCUAUAAAUGAAUAAAAUAGAUGUAUCUAUAACUAAAAUAAGUCUAGAUACAUCCCAUUCUAGGACAAGUAUUUCCGGACGGAGGGAGUAUUAU
rfam:Hordeum vulgare subsp. vulgare, WGS project CAJW01000000 data, contig: morex_contig_1968560